rnacentral:rRNA from 1 species
UACGAAGGGGGCGAGCGUUGUUCGGAAUUACUGGGCGUAAAGGGCGUGUAGGCGGUUCUGUUAGUUGGGCGUGAAAGCCCGGGGCUCAACCCCGGAACAGCGCUCAAUACGGCAGGGCUUGAGUCCGGAAGAGGUGCGUGGAAUUCCCAGUGGAGAGGUGAAAUUCGUAGAGAUUGGGAAGAACACCGGUGGCGAAGGCGGCGCACUGGUCCGGUACUGACGCUGAGGCGCGAGAGCGUGGGGAGCAAACAGG